CCACAAGCUGCAAGAAAUAGAAAGAAUACACUUUGUCCAGCCUGAUAUGGUGUCUCAGACCUGAAACCGAGGCAUUGCCAAGUUCCAGGCUAGUCUGUGCUAGCUCACUACACAGUGAGACCCUGUCAUCGCCAAAGAAUUCUACCAUGCAUCACAGCCCAAGGCUAUUACGGGGACGUGGACUUAACAAGGUAAGUGCUUGAGGUGUGCAGUCGGUACUAUUCAUCUCUAGGCGCCCUUCCCAAGUAACUGGGAGUAGCUGGGAGAGAGUAGGGCAAGGUACUCAAGAUACAAAUGGAAACCUUGGCGUUGUCCAGCAUCUCUAUUUUGAGAAGAAACUGGAGCAGAAGUGAAGACUGGAACUAUAGGCCCGCAGUCUUCAAUUCACCUCUGCCCACCACCAAACAAGCCCCCCAUCACCGGAAGUCUCUCCUCUUCCACGGAAGUAGCCAGGAAUUCCCUCUUCGCCGGAAGUUUCUGGGAAGCUUCCCAGAACCCCCAGUACACCCAUCUCCACUCCGGAAGUCCCCUAGAAACUCCCCCAUUCUUUCCGCCCCGGAGCUUUCCCCAUUUCCAAAACCUCACCAUAUAAACCACGUUGAGAGCGCAUAGCGCAUUCUUGGAACAGGCAAAUCCGCCGCAAGCCAUCUCCCCAGAUCUGGGAACCCGACUGGUCCCAAGACUUGUGGGGAGGGUACUGAGGACCGUCUUGUAGGAAUCCUACAGCGUCUAUCGCUUUAAAUCCAAGCCAGCCAAACCAAUUCUCUGCGCCUGCACCGUCCCACCCCUGCCUCUGGAUUGGCGAAACUCGUGGCUAAUCCAGGACAUCCAGGACUUCAAUGCCAAUCAUUCUGCAUUACGUCACCAGCCCGCCUCUCAGUCUUUCCCUUAGUUUUUUCAUUGGACGAAACUUAAAAAGAAAAGAAAAGAAACUGAGGCCAGGGUUUCUAGACUGUGUUUUAGGGACCAGAGACUGGAUUCCCGAGCACGGAGUUUCGAGACUAGGAACCCAGGAAGAUACUCAGUGUGAACACGCCAGAAAUUCAGGUGGAGACAGUGACUUGAGGCUGGUGCAUUCCUGUUCGUGACAAAACCACAGGCACAGACGCUGGUGUUCUCUAUACCUUUAGAACACAAAUGUGCCUGAUUCAGGGCUGGCACAUGGCACAGUGGGGGCGAGUCUGGAAUAUGAAUAAAUAGAGUCUCCGUACUCUUUAAAAUGUA